CUGGAGAACACUUAGUGAUAUAGGAAAAUACCUUUGAUGUGACAUUCAGUGAGGAAAAAAAAGACAUAAGAUGCACUAUACCGGUUCUAUAAAUAAAUGUGUGUGUGAGUGAGUGUGUGUGUGUGAGUCACAGAGAAGGUAGGAGAGAGGAAAACAGACUAAUAUCAAUGAUUAUUUCUGGAUGGCGAGAUUACCUUCUAAUGUUUUCCAUAAUACCUAGAAUAAAUCUAUAUUACUUUUACAAUCAAGAGAAAAUGGAUUUUUUAAAGCGGAAACAAGGGAUUUGGAAGGAGACAAGCUCGUGAGAACCCCAGCUCAGACUCUCCCUAGCAUCUGGGGCGGGGCCGCUGGCCUGUCUCUGGAUCUAUCUGAAGGACUUUUUCUGGGACUGGUGGGAAGAGACACUGAAUUAAGAAUCGUACCUGAUUGGGGUUCUAUUUUUGAAAGAGGCCUGUGCUGGCAUCCCCAGAGACAGAGCAUGGUGUAUUUCCCUGAAUAACCACUGCUAUUUUUAGAGGGCGCCAAUGAACUGCACCCAGAGAGAGAGGGGAGAGGAGCGACCGCUUGCUUCUGGAGACCCUUUCCCACUCUCAGCUCCUUGCUCAGAAUGGCAGCUCCUCGAGGGCAGGACGGUACCACCACCCACCCACCACCUUCCCGGCAUCCUGCCCAGUGCCUGACAUGAAAUGGUGUUUUGGAGGCCAGGCCAUCCAGAGAGAAGAGUUCUCUAGAAUGCCCAAUGCUGUCCUCGCUGUCCAGUGGUUCCUAUACUCACUGAAGGGCCUGGCUUUGCAGAAGACAAAGACUAGGGCAGCAGUCAAAUAAUAGUCAUCUCUAGUGUUUCAUAAUAACAGCUACUUUUUUUUUGAGUGAACAGCCUUUGUAAUCAGCCUCUUGCCUAAUCAUGGUAAACUUUCCCAGAAGAGGAGGCCAGGGUUCAGGGCCUCACCAAGGUCACGCAGCAGGAAAGGGUUGGAGCCCAAGUUUGACCUGGGCCAUUACGAGCCCGGAGCCUGUGCUCCUGGUCACCUGCAUGGUCCACAACGUGUCUGUCUCCUGUCCCGCCGCACGGAGCGCAGUGCACGUGGAAGGGCUUCCGGCCUAACCACUAACAAGACUCUGGGGAAAAAAAAAUCCUGUGGGAAGGCUGCUACAUUCUACAUCAGGGUUUAGGAGAAAAGGAAGGCGAGUUCCCCCCACCCCCUCAGGGUCCCCCAGCCAAACAAUGCAUUUUAAAUGGCUCCCAAAUUGCUCAGCUAUUUCACUACUUCAGAGGAGAAAUUGCUUGUGGGGGGAGCUGUUGACCCUUUAUGCCCUGAACAUAAAAAUGAAAUGCCAGCUGGGAAAAUGAAGCCACCAGAGGUUGCGGGCAGUGGAGGGGUUCGGUGGGCAUCGUUUGUGGUACAUGUGUGCGGACAGUGUUGAGCCUGGGUUUCUGGGUGUGCCUCUGGGAGCCAGCGUAGUAUGGAGUCUGGGGUCAGAGGGACCUGGUUCAAACCCAGCCCAGGACUAAUGCUCCUGUGGUGACGUGCCUGUGAGGACUCAGUGUGACUGAGGCGCCCUUCAGGCAGAGGGUUCUGUGUGGCUGUGGAAAAGUACCAACACCCAGGCCCAGGCUCAGAAGUCCCGACUUAUUGGCCUGGGGUGGGCCCAGCUGAGUCUAAUGAACAACCAGGGCUGAGCACCCCUGCCUGACUCCCCCGUCCCCUCCCUCCCUCACCCUCUCCCUGCUCAGGGCCCCACUUUCCUCCCCUCUCAGAUGCCUGUGCUGUUUUGUGCGGAAGCAAUCCCCAGAUCGCUCGGGGUGACACAGACGUGCCCUCGGUAAACUGGUGCCCUGUUGGGAACAGAACCAGCCCGUGUGCGUCACAGCUUUGCCGUGGAGAGGAGCCAGUGCCGGCCGGGGUGCUGGUUGGCCCAGGAGAGAAGCACUGGAAGGGCCUGCGGUUGCCGUGGCCUCUCUCCUUUUUACUGAAUCCCGUCUCCCCGAGCACGGCAUCUGCUGAACACACCCCAUCCACACACAGCCUGGCCUGGGGUGGAGAAAGUGCCUGCCUUCCUGGGACCCGGGGGCUGCUCCAGGAAGGGCGAUUGGAAGGUUCUAGAAAUGUGGGUAAGGCAGACCGUGAGCCAGCCCUGUCAGAGCAGAGACACAUCCCCAGGUCCUGAGGAGAAGAGAAAAGGAGCUCUCCAGCCUCCAGAGCCUGUCUGCUGAGGGGCCAGGUCGGGAAGAAGCCUGUAACAGGUGUGGCAGAGGCCCUGCCUGCAGGACAUGUCUGCCUGGAAACGUCCCUCGGGAAACGUGGAGUGCAGUUGCCUGCCUGUAGGCCGACCCCUGCAGUGUGUGUCCCUGACAACAACUAUCCUGUCACAGGGAGCACCGGGCAGGUCUGACCCUCAGACAUCGACACGACCCCCACCACAACCCUGGGAGGCAGGGCUGAGGGUCCCAGUGUCACAGGCAGAGAAUCUGAGGCUCAGGGGACACAGAACCAGUAAGUGAUGAGGCACUGGCUCCUGAGAAUUGUAAGCAGCUGCUUUCAGACCCAUUUUCUCAUUUGAUCUUCUCGAUAGGCCUAUGAGAUGGGCCGACGAGAGGUUGUUAUCCCCAUUUUAAGGAAGAGGAAAACUGAGGCUCAGACACACAGUGAUGUCUCCAAGUGUCACACAGCAAAAGGGCAUCAGAGCCUGGACUCAAGACCAGGCCUGUGGGGCUCACAUCGGGGCUCUGUCCACUCAGCCCAGGCCUGCGGCAUGUUCCCUACUGUCCACCACACAUGUCCCCCUCAGGAUGCCUCACCGGCCAGCCUGCUCUGGGCUCCAAAUGCUCCCAUUCUUCACUUCCUUCCUGAAACCCAGCUUGCUUACUGUCUUCUAGCUGUGUGAUCUUGGACAGGCUGAUGCCCCUGACCUCUAUGAGCUUUCGUUUUCUUACAAGGCAGGGAGAGGGGAGCCCACCUCCCAGGGUUACUUGAGAACCAACAAGGUAACCGUCUGGGUCCCAAGCCUCACACAGGGUCCCUGCUAGGGGUAAAUGGGCAUUCACUGGAUCAGAUAAAUUCAUCUGUGGGGAAUUUCACGCAGUGUCAUCCAGCCCAACCCUUCACUUACAGGAAGGGAGACUGAGGGUGAAAGGGGACAGUGACUUGACUAGGGUCACACAGCAGGUGGAGGCCUGGCCAGCCAGUCCUCAGACCCCUGUGUCUUGAUCCCCAGUCCAGUGCUCUGCACACCACAGCAGACAGCGCCCUGGAGCCAGGGGAACGCACAACACAAGAGACUAGAUCCAGGAAAGACCCCACCGCCUUAAACGCUGCUGGUGGGCAGCCGUGUUUCACUGGGUGGCUGCAUCCCUGUUCCCAGUCACCCACCCCGGCCCUGCUGCUUACAGCUGUGAGGUCCUGGGCAGGGCAUUAGCCCUCAGGGGCUCAGGUACAAUGUGGACCAGGAGGGCUGUCAGGGAAGACGCCCAUUGUUCUGAGGUCUUUUUCUCAGCCCUCACUUCCUGAAGGGAAGUGUUGGCAUUGGUGGUGGUGGUAGCAGGCUGUCCUAGGCUUCCAGUCCUCUCACUGCUCGGGCAGGGUCCUGGAAACUGGGAGGUAUGGAGAAGGAGCAGAGCUGGGAGGAGCUUGUUUGGCUUCUGGUACCUUCUGCAACAACCCAGACUCCCCUCCUUUUUGAGAAAGGGCUCACAAGCAAGGAACUCAGAGCUGAUGGCCGAGAGAGGUGAUUUGCCACUCUGUCUGUGUAGAGAAAGUAACCAUCAUUCCUGGAUUCUUCUCCAAAACUUUUUUUUUUAAAUACCUGAGACACUCAGUUGCAGACUCUCUACUGGAAAUCUUUUUUUAAACUGUAAUUAUAAUUAAACCUGCUUUGCAACAAGAAAAAAAAA